UACGUAGGGGGCUAGCGUUGUCCGGAAUCAUUGGGCGUAAAGCGCGCGUAGGCGGCCAGAUAAGUCCGGUGUGAAAGUCACAGGCUCAACCUGUGAAUGCCGCUGGAAACUGUCUGGCUAGAGUCUGGUAGGGGGAUCUGGAAUUCCUGGUGUAGCGGUGGAAUGCGCAGAUAUCAGGAGGAACACCGGUGGCGAAGGCGGGAUCCUGGGCCAGUACUGACGCUGAGGAGACGAAAGCGGUGGGGAGCAAACAGG
rnacentral:rRNA from 1 species